GACGAACGCUGGCGGCGUGCUUAACACAUGCAAGUCGAACGGAAAGGCCCUGCUUUUGUGGGGUUCUCGAUUGGCGAACGGGUGAGUAACACGUGAGUAACCUGCCCUUGACUUUGGGAUAACUUCAGGAAACUGGGGCUAAUACCGGAUAGGAGCUCCUGCUGCAUGGUGGGGGUUGGAAAGUUUCGGCGGUUGUGGAUGGACUCGCAGCUUAUCAGCUUGUUGGUGUGGUAGUGGCUUACCAAGGCUUUGACGGGUAGCCGGCCUGAGAGGGUGACCGGCCACAUUGGGCCUGAGAUACGGACCAGACUCCUACGGGAGGCAGCAGUGGGAAAUAUUGCACAAUGGGCGGAAGCCUGAUGCAGCAACGCCGCGUGCGGGAUGACGGCCUUCGGGUUGUAAACCGCUUUCGCCUGUGACGAAGCGUGAGUGACGGUAAUGGGUAAAGAAGCACCGGCUAACUACGUG
rnacentral:rRNA from 1 species